CGGUAGGUAGAGUAACACGUGAGUGACCUGCCUUUUAGACUGGAACAACUUACCGAAAGGUGAGCUAAUGCCGGAUGAGUUAUAUAAGUGCAUGUUUAUAUAGGAAAAGUUGGGGAGACCUGACGCUGAAAGAUGGACUCGCGUCCCAUUAGCUAGUUGGUAGGGUAAUGGCCUACCAAGGCGACGAUGGGUAGCCGGCCUGAGAGGGUGGCCGGCCACACUGGGACUGAGACACGGCCCAGACUCCUACGGAAGGCAGCAG
rnacentral:rRNA from 1 species